rnacentral:rRNA from 1 species
GACGAACGCUGGCGGCGUGCUUAACACAUGCAAGUCGAACGGUAAGGCCCUUCGGGGUACACGAGUGGCGAACGGGUGAGUAACACGUGGGUGAUCUGCCCUGCACUUCGGGAUAAGCCUGGGAAACUGGGUCUAAUACCGGAUAGGACUCCGGACUGCAUGGUCUGGGGUGGAAAGCUUUUGCGGGGUGGGAUGGGCCCGCGGCCUAUCAGCUUGUUGGUGGGGUGAUGGCCUACCAAGGCGACGACGGGUAGCCGGCCUGAGAGGGUGAACGGCCACACUGGGACUGAGAUACGGCCCAGACUCCUACGGGAGGCAGCAGUGGGGAAUAUUGCACAAUGGGCGCAAGCCUGAUGCAGCGACGCCGCGUGAGGGAUGACGGCCUUCGGGUUGUAAACCUCUUUCAGCAUCGACGAAGCGAAAGUGACGGUAGGUGCAGAAGAAGGACCGGCCAACUACGUGCCAGCAGCCGCAGUAA